AACGCACCUUGCGCUCCGUGGUAUUCCGCGGAGCAUGCCUGUUUGAGUGUCGCGCCCCCCUCUCAACCCCUCUGGCGUUUGCGCGCCUGGAGCGGGCUUGGAUCCUGGCCUCUUUCCGCUUCUGAAGCGGAAGGCCGAAAUGCUGUACGCCUCUGGCGGCACGCGGUCUGACCGGAACGUUGUACGCACCUCGUUCUCGGGACGCGCGCCAGGCCUGGGCCGCGAAUCGCGCACUCUAAUGACCUCGACCUCAAAUCAGGCAGGACGACCCGCUGAACUUAA
rnacentral:misc_RNA from 1 species